GUUGAUCCUGCCGGACCUGACUGCUAUCGGAUUGAUACUAAGCCAUGCGAGUCAUUGUAGCAAUACAAGGCAUACGGCUCAGUAACGCGUAGUCAACCUACCCUAUGGACGGAAAUAACCUCGGGAAACUGAGAAUAAUAUCCGAUAGAACAUUAUGCCUGGAAUGGUUUAUGUUCCAAAUGAUUUAUCGCCGUAGGAUGGGACUGCGGCCUAUCAGUUUGUUGGUGAGGUAAUGGCCCACCAAGACUAUUACAGGUACGGGCUCUGAGAGGAGUAGCCCGGAGAUGGGUACUGAGACACGGACCCAGGCCCUAUGGGGCGCAGCAGGCGAGAAAACUUUGCAAUGUGCGAAAGCACGACAAGGUUAAUCCGAGUGAUUUCUGCUAAAGAAAUCUUUUGUUAGUCCUAGAAACACUAACGAAUAAGGGGUGGGCAAGUUCUGGUGUCAGCCGCCGCGGUAAAACCAGCACCUCAAGUGGUCAGGAUGAUUAUUGGGCCUAAAGCAUCCGUAGCCGGCUCUGUAAGUCCUCGGUUAAAUCUGUACGCUUAACGUACAGGCUGCCGGGAAUACUGCAUAGCUAGGGAGUGGGAGAGGUAGACGGUACUCGGUAGGAAGGGGUAAAAUCCUUUGAUCUAUUGAUGACCACCUGUGGCGAAGGCGGUCUACCAGAACACGUCCGACGGUGAGGGAUGAAAGCUGGGGGAGCAAACCGGAUUAGAUACCCGGGUAGUCCCAGCUGUAAACUAUGCGAACUCAGUGAUGCAUUGGCUUGUGGCCAAUGCAGUGCUGCAGGGAAGCCGUUAAGUUUGCCGCCUGGGAAGUACGUACGCAAGUAUGAAACUUAAAGGAAUUGGCGGGGGAGCACCACAA
rnacentral:rRNA from 2 species